AUCUGUUCUUAUCAGUUUAAUAUCUGAUACGCCCUCUAUAUGAGGGCUACAUAUUAAAUGGAUUUUUAGAACAGGGAGCCAGAACAGGAGCUUGCUCCUUCUGCUCCACGCAUCGACCUGGUAUUGCAGUACCUCCAGGAGCGGUGC
ensembl:snRNA U2 U2 spliceosomal RNA